rnacentral:rRNA from 1 species
AGAGUUUGAUCAUGGCUCAGAACGAACGCUGGCGGCGUGCCUAACACAUGCAAGUCGAGCGCGAAAGGGGGGGCAACUCCCCGAGUAGAGCGGCGCACGGGUGAGUAACGCGUGGGUAACCUACCUUCGGGCGGGGGAUAACCACUCGAAAGGGUGGCUAAUACCGCAUGAGACCACGGGGUCCUAAGGAUCCUGGGGCCAAAGAUGGCACCGGCUUGCCGGUGCUGUCACCUGGAGAUGGGCCCGCGUACGAUUAGCUAGUUGGUAGGGUAACGGCCUACCAAGGCUGCGAUCGUUAGCUGGUCUGAGAGGAUGACCAGCCACACUGGAACUGGAACACGGUCCAGACUCCUACGGGAGGCAGCAGUGAGGAAUAUUGCGCAAUGGGGGAAACCCUGACGCAGCAACGCCGCGUGGGUGAAGAAGGCCUUCGGGUCGUAAAGCCCUUUCGGACGGGACGAACGCUCCGCGGGGAUAAUCCGCGGAGUCUGACGGUACCGUAGGAAGAAGCACCGGCUAACUCCGUGCCAGCAGCCGCGGUAAUACGGAGGGUGCAAGCGUUGUUCGGAAUUACUGGGCGUAAAGCGCGUGUAGGCGGCCUGGUAAGUCAGAUGUGAAAGCCCCCGGCUUAACCGGGGAAGUGCAUCUGAAACUGCCUGGCUUGAGUACGGGAGAGGGAGGCGGAAUUCCUAGUGUAGAGGUGAAAUUCGUAGAUAUUGGGAGGAACACCGGUGGCGAAAGC